GGCAGCCUAAGGCUGCGGAGACCGGGACGGAAACUCGGAGACGACUCCCCGCUUGUCAGAGAUCCUGCGUGUGCGACCAGUUUCCGCACAUGCGCGAUGGGUGUCUGCAGUGCCCAUUCGACGCCUAAGUAGCGAGGCUUCGGACUUCGCCAUUCCUCUGACCAGAACCCAGCGGGAACACACGGAGGGUUGAACGCAUUGCUUUUCCUGCUAGUUGAAGUGAGUGAGAGCACACACCAGGAGAAGCCGGAGGAGGGCGUCUCAGGAAGGUGAUCCGGGAGACUUGAGGCCGUCGAGACUGUCAGGCAGUGGUGGUCAUUCGUUGAUCGUCCAUCUCAAUAAAUCUUAUCAGAAGGAAGGGAAUUUUGGGUAGAGGCUUAAGCUUUAGUUGGUAAAGGAGCAGCAGCCCCCUCCAACUAACUGGAAUGGGUGUUUGGUCAUUUUUUGUGGUUUGGACAACGUUGGUGUUUUAUCUGCAUUCAGGCAUGAUUAAGGAUGGUCUCGGUUUUUGUCUUGACCACUCCUGGUCACAGCUUGGCCUUGUCUGAUGUUGAUGUUCUGUCCAAUGAUUCGUGUUCUACAUGAGUGUACGAGGCCUAGCGGUCAGCUGUCAUCUACUGAUGUUACAGCCUGGAUGAUUGUACCAGGCCAGCUUCCAAGUGCUUUCCAUUUUCCUCAAGUGUUUUUUCAUUCUCACACCGUAAAGCAAAGGGACUGGAUGACCUGGAAGUGUUUGCAUUUCCGAGAGCUAAAUUAUUGCAGUGAUUUGUAUGCAUUGAAGACAGUGUUAAGUUUCAUGCAGGUAGAGUUUGAAGUUUCAUUGUCCUUAUCUGGUGCUUUUCACCAAGAAAUUGAAAGAAAAGCAAUAGGAAGAAACCGGAAUUAAACAGUUGCCACCACUAACUUACUGCCUGAAUUUCACCAGAGGCAGUGCUGCUGUAUCUGGGCCUUGGUUGGAACACUCUAGGGAGUGUAAACAAGGGAAUUAAAAUUAAUGACCUCUGCUUCUGUUACCUAUUGCAACAUAACAGACCACCCCAAGAUUUAGUAGCUUAGAAUAACAGAGUUUAUUAUUUUUUACAAUUGUGUGGGUUGACCAGGCUCAGCUAGAGCCACAUGGUGUAAUCUGAAGUUAGUCAUGGGCCUGAAAUCAGCUGGGGACUCAUUCAAAGUGACUUUGUGGCCCCUGCGGUCUCUCUUCACCACAUGGCUUCUUCUUUAAAAAAAAAAAAAUGAUUUCUUUAAUUUGAAAGGCAGAGUUACAGAGAAGGGAAAAGAGAGAGAAAGAUAUCUUCCAUCCUCUGGUUCACUCCCCAAAUGGCCACAACGGCUGGGGCUGGGCCAGACCAAAGCCAGGGACCAGGAGCUUCAUUUGGGUCUCCCAUGUGUAUGCAGGGACCCAAGGACCUGGGCCAUCUUCCACUGCUUUCCCAAGUGCAUCAGCAGGGAGCUGUAUUGGACUUGGAGCAGACAGGAAUUGAACCGGAGCCCCUUAUGAGUUGUCAACGUGCAGGUGGCGGCUUCACCCGCUACACCACAAUACCAUCCUCUCCAAGUGGCUUCUUACCACUCAAGCUUCUGCUUGGUGGCUUCAAAGAAGACAAGCCCCAAUGAACAAUUGCUUAUCAAAUCUGCUACACCACACAUACUAAUGCCGCUUGACCAAAGCCAGAGACACAGCCAAGCCCAUAGAGUGGAAAGGGUCUAGACAAUGGUGAGAAUACAGACAGGCAUGGUCCCUUGGGUGCCACUGAUGUUAACAGCUAGUCUAGAUCUCCAAGGCCCUAGCACCUGCAACGUGACUCAGCACACAGAGCUAGGAAGCCCACGGUGAAUCAUUUCCUACCCCCAAUAUGUAACUUUAGCCUACACCAUCUUUUUUAUUGUUUUAAAAUAUGAGUGUCCUAUUUUAAAACCUGAAUUUCUAGCUUCUCUUGAAAAAUUGGAACAUCUCACUAUUAGAUCUACAUAGAAAUGAUAUGCAGGGGUCGAACAGCAAUUACUUUCUUUGUAUGACGUGUGGCCUAUGAUUUUCCACAGUUGCCAUCACUUCAGUUUGUCUUCUAUCUAUCUUUAGUGCACUUUUUAUUGCUGUACACAUAUUAUCUGAAACUGAGCAAUAUAUAAAUAAAAAGAUCAUUUAGCUCUUGAUUCUGCAAGUCCAAGAGCAUGCUUGGCAUCUGUUGCAACCUCUCAUCAUGGGGAUUAAAUUUCAACAUGAAGGGCAGGCAUUUGGCACAGUGGUUAAGAUGCCACUUGGUUUGAAUCCCAGCUACUGCACUUCCGAUCCAGCUUCCUCUUCCUGUGCACCCUGGAAGGCAGCGGAUGAUGGCUCAAGUGCUUAGGUCCCUGCAUGUGGGAACUCAGAUGAAUUUCUGAGCUCCUGUCUUCAGCCUGUCCCAGCCCAGCUGUUGUGGGCAUUUGGAGAGCAAACCAUCAAGUGAAAGAUCUCCCUCUCUCUCUCUCUGUCACUUUGCCUUUCAAAACUUUUUAAAAAAAAAAAAAAAAAAAAAAAGUAAA